ACCAGUGUAUGAACUGAGAUCCCUUUGACUCUGAAGAGAGCCUCGAGCAAUGAUUCAAAACUACACGAACUUUCAACUUCAGUUCACUCAGGGCCGUGGGGUCUUCAGUUGUAAGCUGUGUUUUUCCAAGCUUUGGUUUUUUUUCUUUUUCUUUUCCUUUGCUACAGGGUUCAUUAUUUUUCAGAGGAUGGGUCUUUCUGCCCUGCAGGGAUCUAUCUAUCACUGCUGACUCUCUGCAUCUUCUCCACAUGGAAGAAGUAAUUGGAUUGUAUUUUCUGCACACGACCAAGACAGCAGGGAAACCCACAGCUGUAAGCCAGAGAACUAAGCUGUCUAGAGAGGGCUGGGCUUGGGCCUGGGCCUCACCAGCAUGCCUAAUAAUGUCAUCAGGACUAAGGACAUGAAGAGGAUGAGGUGUCCUGUACCCAGCAGUGACACAUGCCGGUACAAAGAUUAAAACCAAAAUUGACUGGACCUCAGACAAAGGAGAAGAAGGGAAGUUGUUGAGAUCCCCACACAGAUGUCUGAUUACAAUUCCAGCAAGGUGCAUUUGAAACUGUGUCACAGCUCAGCCUCUUCUCCCCAGUGCCUGUGGAGGCAGCUUCCAGCAUGACACAUCCCAUCUUUGACUCACCAGAAGACAUGCAUCAAUUCAGCUGGAAAACAGGAACUUAAGGAAAGAGCUUGAAAGUCUGUGGCAAGCCUAUAAGGACUGAUGUACAACACAAUUGUAAAGUUUAAUUCUAGAAUGAAGAUCAAUGAAUAUACAAAGAUUAAUGUUUCUAAGAAAACAAACACAUAAAUCUACAGCCAUUUUGACAAAUGAUGUGCAGAUUUCUCCUGGGGAGCAUGCAAAGAAGGCCCACACCUACAGAAAGGCUGUCCCAAGAUUAUGUCACCUACAUGUGUCACGAAGGAAUUUUCUUCUUGACUGCUCAGAGGAGGAUUUUUAACAUUUGCCUUUCAUUUACUCCACAACAUUUCAUUGCUGAGUAACUUGUACUUCUUCACACCAUUUUAAUUUGAUGGCAUGUACGAGUAAUGCAGAGACCUUUCUUUCCUAGGGGAAAUUAGGAAAAUAAUUCAUUCUUUCUCUCAGUAACUCUACUGAAUUCAAUUUGGGUUCAUUCUUUUAGGAAAGGUGUUUAUCUAGUUCUGUCAAUUAAGAUAUGGAAGGAAAAAUGCCAAUAAUACUGGCCAUCUUGUCAUCACAAUUCUUAGUUCUUUUAUGCCGUGCUUCCUCCACAGAGACUUUAAUUUUGCAGAGGAAAAAACUAACAUAAAGUCUUAGAAGGUUUAAGUCACAUCUGUAAUUUCUGCAUGUUACUAAAUACUAACAUACACUAUGUACAUGGAACAAAACUUCAGCAAACGAGUUUUCACAUUGAUUUGGUUUUUUGAGCUCAUUUGUAAGGUUUUCAUUUUAAUUUCUUUUCUAACAUUUACUUCAAUAUAUAUUUGCCAGAUGAGUUGCAUGCACAGAAAAAGGUGUAACAAAAGGGCAGGAGUAUCCGCUGCAUUAUGUGCUCCUGAGAGACAGAGAAAGAACAUUAUUUGGAAAUUUCUGUGGCGGAGGGCCCUGCUGGCAGCUGCUGAUCUCAUUCCUAUCCCUUACAUGGGGUUGUUAGCACAAGGACACAUGUGGGAAUGGCUGAGGACUGGGGAGGCCAUGACCAAAGUGAAUAUUGAUUCUCUUUUUCCUUGGUGUGGCUGCCUGUGUAGAAAACAUCGAUCAGUAGUGCAGCCUGGGAGAAGGCUGAAUGAAUUAAUGGAAGAGAGAACCCUCUCAGAGCCACUGAACACACAGAAAAUCAGCCUGGCUCAGGAUGUGUCCGGGCUGCAAGUGCUUUGCAGUAGAGAGGAGACGCUGCUUGCGAUUCUCCGGUCUCACGCUCCUCGUUCCAACAUCAGCUCUAGGGCGUUAGCAUUAGCUGUUCUUAUUUCAUUAUGCUUUUAUUUACUGUUGGCAGGAGAGGAGGUCUGGAAGCUGCCCAGAGUGCUGGCUGCAGCCGUCGAGAGACCUCUCUUUCCCCAGGGCUGGCUGCAGCACAGAAUUGAUGGGCGCUGAGUAAAUGUGUUUCAUAUCCAGAGCAAAUUUUCCAGAGUGCCUAAAUGGCUUGAAACUGCAGGUUCUGUUGGCCAAGAUCAAGUAACUUGCUUGGGAAUCUGCUUCCAGUUAGUUUUCUCUCUUUUUGUCUCUCUCCCUGUGUUUGUGCAUUUUCAAUUAUGCAGAAAUGUAUCAUUCAGCUCCACUUCCCUUUAUUUAAGCAGGCAAGGAACAGUGAGCUUCAAAACUGCAGGAUACCUCGAAAUCUUUUAACUUCAAACAUUCUGUCUCCGAUAGAAAACCACGUAUUUCCUUUUUAAUCUCAGUCACGUUAACUGGUACUGGUAACUUUGUACCCACAAGCACAGAACACUAGAUGGAUAGACUGCAGCAAAACGGGUUACAUGUUGUAUUUAGAAACAAGUACCUUUAAAAAAUUUACCUGUCUGCCAAGACUUGGAAAAACGAGAAAGCAAGUUCAGCUUGGUACACAGAGCAGUUCCUCACUGCCUGACUCUCCUCAUGGCUUCUGGGAAUGCCUGGCACAUCAGGUAACACAUGCUGAGCAAGAGCCAAAAAGCCCUUUGUUGCUUGUAAAAAUGAAGCAAGCUCCUUAUUAGAAAACAGCUCCUUUCAGAGGCAUUACAGCCAUGGAUGAUGCUGUAGCCACUCUUCUCAGCCAUCAGGCAGAGAGCCUACCAGGGACCAGCCUUCAGCUGUGUCAGUAGGUAAGGUGUAUAACAAGGAUAGGUCCCGUUGUCCUGUGCCAGAGCAUCCUACCUUUCUUUUAUACUCCAUUGCAGAAACAACACACGCUAACAGCAAACAUUUGCAUGAAACAAGCAAUGAUGAAAUAUACCUAUUUAAUUGUUCACAGUCCACUAAGUCAGGAGAGCCCCUGAGUCACCCUGUGCUGUUUUGACCUCCAGGUCUUUCCUGACUCAUCUGCAGCUCUGGUGUGACUGUUCCUGGCUGCCCCUCACUGAGGAAAAGAGAUGAUUUUUUGAGGCUGAGGUGAUCUGGUGUGGCAGGUGCUAUACUGUCUCAGAUAGGAGGUCUCAACUAGCAGAGUUUCCUGUCUGUUCAAGAGCUUACAAGCUGAAUGCCUUUGUAACUUCCUCCUGGGCUUGAGGGUAGCAUCAGGUGCUGGGGCUGUUUCACACUGCUUGUAACAUCUGGCUGAUGCCAUGGGUUAUAACAAUAAAUGACACCACGCACAACAAACAUCUCCAGGGCUUUCUCUGACUUCAGCCUCUAAUCUCUCAGGCUUCCUGUACCCCGUAUCUGUCUAUAAUGUUUUUGAAAUGACAAUCCUAGUGAUUUUGACAUGGAGGAUUCAUGUGAAGCUGGUGCAGAGGCUGGUAAGAGGCUGCCCUGACCCUCUGGGCCUGGGAGUGUCACAUUACUCUCUGCGUUUGAACUGAAAGUGGAGAGGGUUCAGAAGGGUCAGACAGACAUCCAUAUGACCCUGCUUUCCUCUGUGUCAUGGGACUUUGUGCACAAUUGGCAAUUACAGAUGUAGCCCUGAGACUCACACCAAGCUUCUGACCUGUUGUCACACACUAUUUUAUGCAGCAUGUCAUGUCCGACAUGACUGUAAUGUCUUCUGUCUUACUCACAUCCAGCUCUGUCGCCUGCUUUUUUUAACUUCUCUCACAGGAAUUUCUCUUAGGCAGACUUUUCUUCCAUUAUUCAGACUCAAAUCACUUUUCACCACUCUUUUGUUCCACAUCAAAGCCUGUAGCCUCACCCCCUUUGCACUGAGGGCUCCCAAAAGCCUAGAAAGCUUCUGAGGAAGCCAGUCUCUGUGGAGCUGGAGCAAUGAGCUGGGGUGGCUGUACACGUUCCUGUUAUUGAAAGCAAACAGACCUGUCCACGCUGUUUCAUUCACCACCCCCAAGGAUUUGGCUGGGCCAUCUCCCUGCCAGUUCACUGUUUUCCCUGUCUGGCAGUGUUUGCUGUGGGCAGUCAUACUUGGCCAGAGGAUAUGCUCCAUGGCUCUGCUCAGGCAAGCCUCUCUCCCACAUGUUCACAUAUGUUGUGUAAAGAAUGUCAGAUCUUUGCUGGACCUACUGGGUGGCUCCUUAAGAGAAAUGCUGGGACUCAGCACAGGCACAUCCUGCAGUGCCCACUGUGGGCUGUAGGCUGUAGUGAUUGCCAGAGCCUCCCUUCUGGGCUGUAAAGGUUUUGCAAGCAGCCCUUCUGUGUGGUACUCCGUGCAGCUUAUCCAGCUUGCUGUAUUCCAGAGACAUUGCUGGGCACUACCCUUGCCUCACCUGAGAGCUUUGGAGGCCCAGUGGCAUGUGUUGUACUUGUCUGAGAGCUCAGCAGUGACCUCUUUGUGAUGCUGGCUGAUCUCUCCAGGGCUGGAUCUGUUUCUCUCAAUAAUUUCACUUGCACUCUGGAAUCCCACAAGCAGCUCUCGUUUUUAAUUAGGGGCUCCGUAAUGUCUCCAAAGACGUGUGUAGUGUCAGAGAUCUCACAUCUGAAACAUAAGGCUCAAUUGCCUCAUAUUUUUAUUUUCGGUUUUGAGCACAAUUACUGAGUCCCUCUACAGUCUUAUUCUGUCCAGGUCAAGUCUUCAAAUAUCUUUCUUGAUGGUUCAAUUGCUCCAAGUAUUAUUUUGAAAAUAAUAAGUGACUCUCUCAAGUCACUUCUUGUCCUUUGUGUUCAGUGAGACAGUGAAAAGUUUUACUUCCAUCUUUUCUCACUCUUUCAUGGCCAACUCCAUGUAUCAAUUCCCUGCUCAUGUGAACACUUCAAACUGGCCUUUUGAGCUCUCAGUAACCCAAGUCCCUUCUGGAAGUUUGCCUGCUUCAUUCCCAGGCUGUCUUUCUGUGUCUACUGCACUGGCUGAUGACAUAAACUCUGUCCCACCUCUCAGAAAGGGACAGUUUAUCUCCAGCUGCAGUUCAUCCCUUUGGAGUAGCACUGCUACUAAUGUUAAUAAGAGAGAAGUCCUCUUAGAGUCUGUAGCAAACAUCCCUCAGGUAGCUGCAGCAAAUGAGGAAAUAUUUAAAGGUGAGCUAUGUCCUAAUAUCAUCUGUUGGAAAGGACUUUAUGUUUCAUAUAUUUCAUGUUACUACUCUGAAAGACUAAACGCAGGAGCACAUUUCCAAUUGAAAUGCUUGUGGAAAUUAAAUCCAUGUUUAAAUGAAUUUGAAACUUUUAAUGCAAAAUUGAGCACUUAGAAAUUUUGCAUCAACUCCAACUUAAUUAAAAUUAAUAAGGUUUCAGAGAGUUUUAGUUGGGAUAGAUGAGGAAAGAAUUUGGCCUUAAAUGUGUAAUUAAAAUACAAUUACAUUGGAAGGAAGUAAUUACCGAGGUUGUACCUCAAAAGCAUACCUAAUGGGCUAUCAGGAGAAAAGGUUUAUGUGUUUGGUUCACCAGCUAUAUAAGAUAUAAAAGGAUGUAGUCACUGAAAGAAAGAGAUAUUAGCAAGAUCAUUUAGGUAGAUAGUAGCAGCUCUUUUAUGGUCAAAUCAUUCUGGCUACAUUUAGGAAGGGGACCACUUCAUCUUAGUUUGGGGUAUGCAAGCACCUCCACAAGUUUUCCUUCUGACACAUUCAAUUGUUUCCCAGCCCUCUCAUGGGGCUGUGAGAGAAGGAAGCGUUGUUCAACCAGGGUCAAACAUCUCAUCUGGAUGAGAAAAAAGUUAGCGCUGAAAUGUCACCGACAUGUUUUAUAAAAAAUCCUUUCCUUAGGAUUUUUCCUCCUGAGAAGCUGAGAGGUCUCAGGAACAAAUGUAAACAAUGAUUAUCUGCUGCUGUGGAAUGCAACAGGUGGAUCUGGGAUUGGUCUCAUGUGGUUGUUUUUAAUUAGUGGCCAAUCACAGUCCAGCUGUCCAGACUGUCUCGGUCAGUCACAAGCCUUUGUUAUCAUUCUUUUUAUAUUCUUAGCAAGCCUUCUGAUGAAAUUCUUUCUUCUAUUCUUUUAGUAUAGUUUUAAUAUAAUAUAUAUCAUAAAAUAUUAAAUCAAGCCUUCUGAAACAUGGAGUCAACUUUCUUGUCUCUUCCCUCAUCCUGAGACCCCUGCAAACACCGUCACACUGAAAGACCUCAACUGUCAGAUUUUAGGAACUAUUUGAGAAAGGACUUCUCAAAGUGAAGGACAUAAUCUGACCCUGGUUAAAACCUGGAAGGAAUGCUCUUCUUGGUCCCCACACCAAUCUGCAUGAAGCCCUGAGCUGCACCACAAUAGAACUGCAAUUGUGGUGUCAGUUUUGUAUAAACCUAAACUUGGUGGGUUUUUUACAUUAUUGCCCUGGCACACCUAUGAAAAAUGGUUUAAUAAAUAUGACAUUCCACAACAAGCACAAAACAGACAGGUUUGGGAGUUAGAGUUGAAGUUUGAGAUUUAAAACUGAAGCCACUUUGUACUCUGUGGAGACAGAAAAAUCUAUCAUGCAUUUUUUUUGUUUUGUUUUGUUUCAUUUCAUUUGGCUUUUUUUUUUUUUUUUUUUUUUUUUU